rnacentral:tRNA from 1 species
GUCUGCAUGGCUCAGCUGGUUAGAGCGCCGGUCUCAUAAUCCGGAGAUCCUGAGUUCGAUCCUCAGUGCGGACA